AGUGAACGCUGGCGGUAGGCCUAACACAUGCAAGUCGAACGGCAGCACAGGAGAGCUUGCUCUCUGGGUGGCGAGUGGCGGACGGGUGAGGAAUACAUCGGAAUCUACUUUUUCGUGGGGGAUAACGUAGGGAAACUUACGCUAAUACCGCAUACGACCUACGGGUGAAAGCAGGGGACCCUCGGCCCUUGCGCGAUUGAAUGAGCCGAUGUCGGAUUAGCCAGUUGGCGGGGUAAAGGCCCCCCAAGGCGACGAUCCGUAGCUGGUCUGAGGGGAUGAUCAGCCACACUGGAACUGAGACACGGUCCAGACUCCUACGGGAGGCAGCAGUGGGGAAUAUUGGACAAUGGGCGCAAGCCUGAUCCAGCCAUACCGCGUGGGUGAAGAAGGCCUUCGGGUUGUAAAGCCCUUUUGUUGGGAAAGAAAUCCAGCUGGCUAAUACCCGGUUGGGAUGACGGUACCCAAAGAAUAAGCACCGGCUAACUUCGUGCCAGCCGCCGCCGUAA
rnacentral:rRNA from 1 species